rnacentral:rRNA from 1 species
AAAAUUUUAAAAACCGAAUCCUUGGCUCCCCCCUCCAUUAAAAACCCCACCAAAUGGCAAAAAUAAUGGGAAUUGCCAAAUUCCAUGAAUCCUCCAAUCCUUUAACCCCCCUUGGCCCCCUUGGUAUUCCCAAGAACCUGCCUGUUUGAAUGGCCUGA